ACUACGGGUGGCUGCAGUGGGGGAUAUUGGACAAUGGGGGAAACCCUGAUCCAGCGACGCCGCGUGAGUGAAGAAGUAUUUCGGUAUGUAAAGCUCUAUCAGCAGGGAAGAAAGAAAUGACGGUACCUGAGUAAGAAGCCCCGGCUAACUACGUGCCAGCAGCCGCGGUAAUAAGUAGGGGGAAAGCGUUAUCCGGAAUUACUGGGGGGAAAGGGAGCGUAGACGGUAAUGCAAGUCUGGAGUGAAAGGCGGGGGCCCAACCCCCGGACUGCUCUGGAACCUGUGUAACUGGAGUGCAGGAGAGGCAGGCGGAAUUGCUAGUGUAGCGGUGAAAUGCGUAGAUAUUAGGAGGAACACCAGUGGCGAAGGCGGCCUGCUGGACUGUAACUGACGUUGAGGCUCGAAAGCGUGGGGAGCAAACAGGAUUAGAUACCCGUGUAGUC
rnacentral:rRNA from 1 species